rnacentral:misc_RNA from 1 species
GUUAAAUGCCCUAGCCAUUCUUCUUUGGUAUAAUUGCCCAUGACACGCUGCUGCUAGCCUUUUCUCGUCCAGCAAGUUUAAUUGAUGCAACCUUGACUGGAUCCAUUCUGAUUCAUCAAUUCCUGAUUCCUUCAGAAUCCUUAAGGAAGGAAUUUCGACCUCAAUAGGUAAUACUGCUUCCAUCCCGUAAACCAGUGAGUACGGAGUUGCCCCGGUUGAGGUUCUU